rnacentral:rRNA from 1 species
UACGUAGGUGGCAAGCGUUGUCCGGAUUUACUGGGUGUAAAGGGCGUGUAGCCGGGCUGACAAGUCAGAUGUGAAAACUACGGGCUUAACUUGUAGACUGCAGUUGAAACUGGUUUUCUUGAGUGAAGUAGAGGUUGGCGGAAUUCCGAGUGUAGCGGUGAAAUGCGUAGAUAUUCGGAGGAACCCCGGUGGCGAAGGCGGCCAACUGGGCUUUAACUGACGCUGAGGCUCGAAAGUGUGGGGAGCAAACAGG